ensembl:lncRNA
CUGCAGUCUCCUUAAAGUAGCACUGGUUCCAGAUGAGCAUCUCAUCAAGGGAUGGUGCACAAAAUGAAAGCUGAAGAUACAGGUGACCAGUUGGACUAGAUGAUCUUGGAGGUCUUUUCCCACCUUGGUGAUCCUGUGAUUCUAUGAUUCCUGUGAUUAUCUUUUCCUUCUUCUCUGAGGCUGUUUUCAGUCUCGUCCCCCUGAACAUGAGGGGCUUCUCUUUCCAAAGAGAAAAUGUUUUUCUGUUUCCAUCAAGAUAUUAAAGAUACUGGUGGGCAGCAGGAAGCAAAGGGCAAGAAGGGAGCAGGCUGCUUUUCCAUAUGUUUUGGGAGGGAGUGAACUGAUGUGAAACACAAGCAUUUGUCUGUAUGGAUUUGAAUUGAACCAAGUCCUUUGCAGACAUAUAUCAAAUUGAUUUCACUUGAAAGAAAAGCUGUUUGGACAAAUUAAAAGAGUCACAACAUUGUGCCACUUCCUAAAAAAAGCCUUUGGUUAUUUAAGCCUGUUCUUUCAGAAGUUUCCUAACCAUUGCACUUAGCUGCCCACCUUGAAAUUUCAACCACUUUCAAAGGCACCUCGGGGGUCAGGGUGGAUUUUGCAAGGCUGGCACCUUGUUCUUUGGACACAUCAUUAAAAAGGGAAGGCCCUCUUGCCCUGCAGUGCUGCUGAUUUUCAGAUGAUAGCCCUGUUAGGAAGAUACGUCACGAUGGGUGGAAGAAGGGUUGCCUUCCAGCAUCCCAGACAGCAGCUCAUCACUGCCCGUUACUUGUCCAACAUUAUUACUGAGAAAUAGCUGUAUGACCAUGGAGCAUACACGUGGCUGCAGCUCCAGCUGACACUCAUUGCGCUUGGGUGCCUAUUUAAGAAUGCUUUAAAAAGGGCUUGGGGUCCACUAUUCAUACCUUUGCUUGUACACCUCUGAAGGUUGAAAUUUCCCUUCCUUCAAGCCUUCUAUAAUUGUCCUUAGCAAAACUAUAUAAUUCUCCUUCUGUAGCAGAUAGAUAGCUCACAUACUUUGCAGGUCUCCAGGUUGUUGCAUAUGCUUACUGAUACUGACCCAACAAGAAAUCUUCAGCAUGAUGCAAUAGCAGAAUUUGGUCACUGGAACUUUUAGCCAGUCUGACACAUGGCUUUUGUGGGCAGAGGAUUUCAUUUGUUGUGUCUGAGACCAUUGCUCUAAAUACUUCCUACUCCUCUAGAUUUUCCCAGACACUAUACGAUCCCAGAGGGUAUUCUGUAUUCCUUCCAGUUCAUCUCAACUGCAGUAGAGACCGAAACUUGCAUUGCCUUUUCCAUCACCUAAUAAAGUCUCAUG